rnacentral:lncRNA from 1 species
CCAGCCCCUCCGCGCGCCCGGGCGGUUCCCGGUCGCGCCUGCUUUGGCCCCGGCGGGUUCGGCAUCCGAGCCUGGCAGGGGCCAAUAGACACGUCCUCUGGAGUGCAGUGGUGUGAUCUCGGCUCACUACAGCGUCUGCCUACCGUGUUCAAGCGAUCCUCCCACUUCAGCCUCUUGUGCAACCGGGACCCCAGAAAGGUUCCUACACUACUGAGGUUUGGGGGCACUGUGAAGCAAAAGCCAUGCCUCAGAAUCCCAGGCGGAGACUCCGACCUCCUCCUGGGAGGGGAGCCAGUAGCUGAGCACCUGCGGGAGAUUAAAGAGAGGAAUAAGGAGAAACACUGGAAGGCAAGUGGCUGCUGACUGGAGGAGAUAAUUGGAUGCUGCAAGCGGCAAAGGGCUUGGGACGCAAAACACCGCAAGAAAUCCAACAAAUGAAGCAUUCCCUCAAAGAAAAAACGCACGGGAUGGGCACAGUGUCUCAUGCCUGUAAUCCCAACACUUUGGGAGGCCAAGGUGAGUGGAUCACCUGAGGUCAGGAGUUCGAGACCAGCCUGGCCAACAUGGUGAAACCCCAUCUCUACUAAAAAUACAAA